rnacentral:lncRNA from 1 species
CCCCAAACUGGAAGAAAUGAGAUUCUGAGGCUUACACUCUUGCACAUCAAAGUUUGGCUCAUCUUCAGCCCCUUCCACAUCAUACUCAUUGCAAUCAUUAAUGACCAAAGAUCCACUUCCUGCAGAAGAGGACAACACAGUGCAAGAUUCGGGAUAAAGUUCUCGAGCCAAGGCCUCCUCCUGAUUGAUGAUGGCCAGCCAUGUGGCACUCUCCUUGGCUGUCAUCUUGUCUUGCAGGCACUUAGAUUGCCUCACAAGCUUACGAAUCUUGGCAAUAUCUGGGGACAUAUGCUUGAUCACUGCCGUCAACACACCCACUUUCCAUGCCUUCUUUAAGUCAUGUGGCUUCUUGUAAGGUGGAGCACCUUGAUCCUUGGGCAAACCCAAUUGCGGCCACCAUUCCUCUUUUCCAGUGGGCCACCAUGGGGGGGAAACACCCUUCUCCAGAGGAAACCGCCUCUGAGGAGGAUCACAGUGCUGCAUGAGAGCCGACAAGAGUGAACCAAGGGUGGUGUCUUGCAACUCUUGCAAGGUAUGCGGGGUUGGACCAAUUGCGUUAAUGCCCUCAUUCUUGCCAGGGACUGAAUUAUCAGCUUGGUACUUAGUUAUAGCAGCCGGACCAUUACGAUCAAACCUAACCUUAUCCUUCCACCACUCACGGAGAUUGUCAGAUGCCCCAGUCACAGGCUUUCCUUUCUCUGGAAUAAUCCCAUAGACAAAACCUUGAGCUUUACAAACUUCCAUCAUUUUUAACAUGUAUUUCAAGAUCCCAUCUUGAGCCCUCGACAUCUUCUUCCUCCUUGCCUGCUCUUGCGACUGACGCUGCUUGGCCAUGUCAAUUCCCUCCUUGCCCCUGCUUUGUUCUUUCAGCCGUUUGAUACGCAUUUUGUCCUUCCACAUCCUCCUCUCAAGCUCAUCAACAUCCAUCUCUUCAUCAGUAUAAUCAUCCUCCACGGUAGCCUCCGGUUCAGAUGGUUGGACGGCCAUAUCUGCAUCUCCCAGAGGAGCAGAGAAGAAGUUCAUGUCACCACAAAACCCCAUCUC